rnacentral:tRNA from 1 species
GGCGGCGUAGCCAAGUGGUAAGGCAGAGGUCUGCAAAACCUCGAUCACCGGUUCAAAUCCGGUCGCCGCCUCCA